UUCAAGGUAUAUACAGCAUCGUUUUCGG
rnacentral:sRNA from 1 species